rnacentral:lncRNA from 1 species
GGAACAUCGUCUUCUGCAUCUGUGAAUCAAUUUCUCCUCGCAUUUCUGGUUUCUUACUUGAACCCUAAAUCGCUGCCUCUUUCUUCUUCCCCUUUUUACCUUCCUUUUGCUUAAAUCAUUAAUCAAUUUCAAACUCAUUCAAAUUUAAGUUUACUUUCACUUCGUGACUCGGCUCUCCAAAUUAAUUAGUGCUUUGAAUCUGAAAUAAGACGACACAUAUCAAUCUUCAAUUUGAAUUAUUUUUUUCUCGAUUUUUAAUUUUGAUUAGUUCCUAGUUCCAAAGAAGAUCCGAGAAACAUCAAUUUAUUUUUAAUUGAAAUUGGAUACAAAAUUUUAAGAAGUUUCGGUUUUCUAUCUUUCCGGGAAACAAUUUUAUAAAAUGGAAAAAGAAAAUGUGAUCAUCUGCAUAAUGAUUUUGUCAUACUAUAUGUAUUUUUUGAAUGCUUUAUGAAUGGACUUCACGAUGAAUAUUCUUGAAAUCUCUAGCUUAUAGCAUCUUUAUUCAAUGUCCAUACAUAAUUCUCUAGCUUAUUAAGUGGAAUUUUCCCUGAUUCCCAGCUAGUUUGUAAAAAUAUGUUCUUGUACAUCUCUUGUAUCGUUCUGUUGUUGCUAGAUUAUUAUAUUUAGCAUCAUACUUGUUUUGAUCUUGAAGUAAUUUGACUCCUGCUUAUCAUUUAAUGUUUUUUAUUCGAC